rnacentral:rRNA from 1 species
UAGGGAAUCUUCCACAAUGGACGCAAGUCUGAUGGAGCAACGCCGCGUGAGUGAAGAAGGUUUUCGGAUCGUAAAGCUCUGUUGUUGGUGAAGAAGGAAAGAGGCAGUAACUGGUCUUUAUUUGACGGUAAUCAACCAGAAAGUCACGGCUAACUACGUGCCAGCAGCCGCGGUAAUACGUAGGUGGCAAGCGUUGUCCGGAUUUAUUGGGCGUAAAGCGAGCGCAGGCGGAAUGAUAAGUCUGAUGUGAAAGCCCACGGCUCAACCGUGGAACUGCAUCGGAAACUGUCAUUCUUGAGUGCAGAAGAGGAGAGUGGAAUUCCAUGUGUAGCGGUGGAAUGCGUAGAUAUAUGGAAGAACACCAGUGGCGAAGGCGGCUCUCUGGUCUGCAACUGACGCUGAGGCUCGAAAGCAUGGGUAGCGAACAGG